rnacentral:rRNA from 1 species
CAUGCAUGUCUAAGUACAAGCCUCAGUAAGGUGAAACCGCGAAUGGCUCAUUAAAUCACACCUAAUCUACUGGAAAGUUACUAGUUACUUGGAUAACUGAGGUAAUUCUUGAGCUAAUACAUGCGAAAAAUCUCGACUCACGGAGAGAUGCUUUUAUUAGAUCAAAACCAAACGGCUUCGGCCGUCUCAUUGGUGACUCUGAAUAACUUUGGGCUGAUCGUAUGGCCUUGCGCCGACGACGUUUCCUUCGAAGGUGUGCCCUAUCAACUGUCGACUGUGAUAUAGACGCUCACAGUGGUUUUGACGGGUAACGGGGAAUCAGGGUUCGAUUCCGGAGAGGGAGCCUUAAAAACGGCUACCACAUCCAAGGAAGGCAGCAGGCACGCAAAUUACCCAAUGAACGAAGUUCGAGGUAGUGACGAAAAAUAACGAUACAGGACUCAUCCGAGGCCCUGUAAUUGGAAUGAGUACACUUUAAAACCGUUCCCGAGGAUCUAUUGGAGGGCAAGUCUGGUGCCAGCAGCCGCGGUAAUUCCAGCUCCAAUAGCGUAUAUUAAAGUUGUUGUGGUUAAAAAGCUCGUAGUUGGAUCUCGGCGGACAGAAGUCGGUCCGAAUGCUUUCGGUACUGGCUUGUUUGUCCGUGUGUUUUGCCAGAGGCAGGCGGGUGCUCUUCGCCGAGUGUCCGUCUGUGCUGGCAGGUUUACUUUGAAAAAAUUAGAGUGCUCAAAGCAAGCUCUCACGCUUGAAUAUUCGUGCAUGGAAUAAUAGAAUAGGAUGUCGUUUCUAUUUUGUUGGUUUUCGGAAAUCGACAUAAUGAUUAAUAGGGACAGUCGGGGGCAUUUGUAUUCAAACGACAGAGGUGAAAUUCUUGGACCGUUUGAAGACAAACUACUGCGAAAGCAUUUGCCAAGAAUGUUUUCAUUAAUCAAGAACGAAAGUUAGAGGUUCGAAGGCGAUUAGAUACCGCCCUAGUUCUAACCAUAAACGAUGCCAGCUAGCGAUCUGCAGGCGUUUUACUUUACGACCUUGCAGGGAGCUUCCGGGAAACCAAAGCUUGUGGGUUCCAGGGGAAGUAUGGUUGCAAAGCUGAAACUUAAAGGAAUUGACGGAAGGGCACCACCAGGAGUGGAGCCUGUGGCUUAAUUUGACUCAACACGGGAAAUCUCACCAGGCCCGGACACGAGAAGGAUUGACAGAUUGAUAGCUCUUUCUUGAUUUCGUGGGUGGUGGUGCAUGGCCGUUCUUAGUUGGUGGAGUGAUUUGUCUGGUUAAUUCCGAUAACGAACGAGACUCUGUCCUGCUAACUAGUGUCUGCUUCUUUUCUGAGCAGAUUAUUCUUCUUAGAGGGACUGGUAGCUCUUAGCUACACGAGAUUGAGCAAUA